CCAAUUCCACCGCCUUUGAUCAAAUACAUCCGCGCAAGUCUUAUUUCCACCGCUUAAUCGUAGCCGUCUGUCAUAUUCCUCAAACCUAUAAAUACAAGGCAAUUAUUCCAUCCCGGUUUGCUUUUGUUCAAGUUGUACUUUUUUCUGUGAUUCGGUGUUCUUUCGAUGAUAUCUUGAGAUAUAAGCUGUGUUUGAUCAAGAUACCGGGUAAUUUAUUGUAUGAUUAACAUCUGGGUUUAUUGUAUGAUUUAACAUAUGGGUAAUUAUUGGUAUGGUGAAGAUGAUGAUGUAUAAUUAUUGUGGAUCAUGAUAAUGGAUGAUUAUUAUUGUUUGAUCAAAGAUAUGGGUGAUUAUUCCAUUCCUGUUCGUUUUGGUUUUGGUUCUCUGUACGCAGUGUUUGAUUGUCGAUAUGGGUAGUUGUUGUUGAUCAAGACACUGGGUAUAUAUAGUGCAUUGCAAUCCUUUUGAUUCUCGUUUCUUGUGUAUUAUAUAGUGCAUUGCAAUUCUUUUGAUUGAUUCGGAAUACGAGUAGACAACAGAUUUGUGAGCAAGAGUAUAUUUCACAGAUACAGCCAUUUUUUGUGGGGUACUUCCAUAUGUGUCUAUUCUUCCUUUCAAUCUACUAUAAAGGUUUUAACUUGGCCCUUAAUAUUGAAGAUAAUAAAGGUUUUACAUUGGCCCUCAAUAUUGAAGAUAAUAAUUACAUGAUCAAGGGCUGUACCCUCUCGCAUAAAGUAUUUAGCUGUUAUCGUCAACCUUUGUGGCUUUUUGCUUAGAACUUGGAAAUUUAGCUCCCCAGGCCUAUUUAGAUCUUCUGUUGCAGACUUAUGUGUCACAAGCUAUCAUUUUGGAUUUGAUAUCUUGAGUUCCAUCUUGAAUCAUAAUUUUUUAUGCUAAUCAUGUGUCUCUACGCAUCAACUUCUUUUACGUUCUUAGUUGGUUUGGCCUUCAAUUAAUACAUGGAUGGGGCAUCUAAGUGCAAGUGGUUCUACAGGAGUAAGUGUCUUGCUUCGCUGAUUGGUCGGGAAGAUGCAGUAGUUCCUAGGCCUUUGACUAUGUGUCUUGGAUUUUUCAGUCUCUCAAAGCUUUGGAAGUUCUCAACUAUGAUAUUUCUUUUCAGUAGUGUGUAUUGUGUGUUCUGCUGCCAGUUUUAGUUCUUUGGAGUAAGUGUCUUGCUUCGCUGAUCGGUCGGGAAAGAUGCCGUAGUUCCCAGGCCUUUUGACUAUGUGUCUUGGAUUUUUCAGUCUCUCAAAGCUUUAUCCAAAACUGGUAUGAUAUGGAAGUUCUCAACUAUGAUAUUUCUUUUCACAAGUGUGUAUUGUGUGUUCUGCUGCCAGUUUUAGUUCUUAGUUGUGUUCUUUGAUGAUCCUGCUGUCUUUUAAGGUGUUACAGGUACCGGAAAAUGUCAGAAGUCAAAAUGUGCUUCUCUGUUUUUUCUGUCCUAACUACUUAUCUUCUCUGCCGUUUUUCCUUUGUUAUUACGCCAGUUUGAUUUUGUAUUGCUGAAUGAAUGUGUAGACCACCACAUGGUGAUAGUAAUAGAGGAUUAGUUUUGUAUUGGAAAUCCUUUUGAUUGAUUUCCAAUGUUAUUGGAAAUUAGAACCUGGUUCCAUUAUAGAUGCAAUUUCAUGUUUGCUUCCAGGUUCUGGGAAGUAUGAGGUUUUUGUUGUGAGGAUUCAUGUGUUGGUGUACAUUGUUCUGUCUAACUAUUUAGUUCUAUAAAACCUAGCAAUUUCCUUUUUGUUGAAUCAGAAUACUGGAAUUCAGAAUACUGGAAUUUGGCUCCAUGGCCUACUUGGAUCUGCUAUUCUAGACCUAUAUGUCACAACCAUACAAUGGAGCUAUCAGUUUGGAUUUGAUAUCUUGAUUUCCAUUUUUAAUGCUAAUGCUAAUUCUAAUCAUGUGUCUCCUCGCAUCAAUUUCUUUUACCUUCUUAUUUGGUUUGGUCUGAUGUCAUUCUUAGUUAUCAUUCUUAGUUAUCAAAAAUACGUUCGGAUUUUAUAUUUUGACUUCCAUUUUAAAUGCUAAUGCUAAUGCUAAUGCUAGUCAUGUGUCUCCUCACAUCAACUUCUUUUAGCUUCUUAUAUGGUUUGGUCAUCAGUGGAUGUCAUUCUUAGCUGUCAAGAAUACAUGGAUGGGCAUCUAGGUGCAAGUGGUUCUACAGGAAAAAGUGUCUUCCCCCGGUGUUUGUGGUUGGGGAAGAUGCAUCAGUUCCCAAGUCUUUGACUAUAUAGGUAGUGGAUUUUCAGUUUCUCAAAGCUUUGUCAAAACAGGUGCGUUAUAGAAGUGCGUUAUAGAAGUUCUCAACUAUGAUAAUUCUUUCACCGGUGUGUUCUGCUGCCAGUAAGAUGCUUGUGUUCUUUGAUGAUCCUGAUGUCUUUUAUGGUGUUAUGGGCAUGCAUUUUCAUGUUUGCUUCCAGGUUCUGAGAAGUAUGAGGUUUUUGUUGUGAGGAUUCAUGUUGGUGUACAUUGUUCUGUCUUAACUAUUUACUACUAUAAAACCUAGCAAUUUCCUUUUAUUGAAUCAGAAUACUGGAAUUUGGCUCCAGGGCCUACUUGGACCUGCUAUUCUAGACUAUGUCACCGCCAUACAAUGGAGCUAUCUGUUUGGAUUUGAUAUCUUGACUUCCAUUUUUAAUGCUAAUGCUAAUCAUGUGUCUCCUCGCAUCAACUUCUUUUACCUUUUUAUUUGGUUAGGUCAUCAGUGGAUGUCAUUAUUAGUUAUCAAGAAUACUAUUGGAUUUUAUAUCUUGACUUCAAUUUUUAAUGCUAUUGCUAAUGCUAAUCAUGUGUCUCCUCGCAUCAACUUCUUUUUAGCUUCUUAUUUGGUUUGGUCAUCAGUGGAUGUCAUUGUUAGCUGACGAGAAUACAUGGAUGGGCAUCUAGGUGCAAGUGGUUCUACAGGAAGAAGUGUCUUGCCCCAGUGUUUGUGGUUGG
rnacentral:lncRNA from 1 species